UUUUAUUAGCGUUAUACAAGUUUUUCGAGCACAAAGAGGAAGUCAAGUACCAAAGAGUAAAGCCAACAACAUCACAUGGAUCCAAGUGGAGGUAUAUUAAUUAAUUAUCACAAUUUUGAUUAUAUAAAUAGUGAUGAUACGUGAUACAACUUAAGCCUUAUCCAUAUUUUCUUUCCAUGUGUAGUGUCCUGGGCAGCGUAAUGAAGUAGAUUGCGGUUUUUACAUGUUGUAGUUUAUGAAAGAAAUUCUUCUUUCGAAUCAAAUAGAGAUUUCGUCCAAGUACUUUGAUGACUUCAAGUGUGCUACUUACUCAAGAUCUAAGUUGGAUGAACUUAAGGAGGAAUGGUGUCAAUUCAUGAUUGAGUUGAAAGUUGUAUAGGAUAUUGAAUGGUAAAAAGGUUACAGUUGCUGGCAAGAAGAAAAAGUAGAUAUUUAGCAUCCUUUUGAUUUGUGUAAAAAAUAACAAUGUUUUGGAUGAUGCAAUUGUUUUCAUUGAAUUGGAUGUAAUUUUGUUGUUGUUUAUUAA